rnacentral:rRNA from 1 species
UACGAGGGGGGCAAGCGUUGUUCGGAAUUAUUGGGCGUAAAGGGUGCGUAGGCGGUUUUGUAAGUCUUGUGUGAAAUCUUCAGGCUCAACUUGAAGACUGCACGAGAAACUGCAGGGCUUGAGUGUGGGAGAGGUGAGUGGAAUUCCUGGUGUAGCGGUGAAAUGCGUAGAUAUCAGGAGGACACCUGUGGCGAAAGCGGCUCACUGGACCACAACUGACGCUGAUGCACGAAGCUAGGGGAGCAAACGGG